rnacentral:lncRNA from 1 species
UAGGAUAAUGUGAUAAUGUUUUACGAAACAAAUUACAAAAAUAAAAUCAAAAGAAUUUAACAACCUCUAAAAAACUAUACAAAAUCAUCCAAAGACGUUAAUUAAAGGACCAAAGAAACUAGAGGAGCCGACAAACUCUCCCUCUCUCUCUCUCUCCCCUCCCCUCAUUGCUUUCUGACCUCGCCCACUUGUGAAGGUGAAGUAGUCGCCCACUUCCCGAGCUCCUAAGGACAUCACCCACUUCCCGAGCUCUCAAGGACAUCUCCCACUUCUCCUUCCUCUAGCCAUCGUUGCCCAUUUCUCAUUAGCUAGGAUUCGUCGCCUAUUUCUCAGGCUCCUAAAGACAUUGCCCAUUUCACUCUCCUCGCUUGGUUUUGAUUCUUACAUUCCGUUGGUACGGAAAAUGUAAUCAAGUUUUACAAUAAUCUGCCAUGAAGAGUCGAAACAACUACCCAUAAAUAUUCGAAAAAGUUUUUGAUAAUAUAUGAAGCAUACUUAAUAAUUUCGUAAAAUGAACGGUACAAAGAAAACAAAAACAAAAACUUGGAUCGGAGGAUUGCAAUCUCUUCCUCUCUUCGAUGUUUUUGUCAAAGUUUCGUUGAUAACUGAAUCAGACAAGAAUUUGAAUUGAGCUUUACAAAGUUCCGCCUUUUAAGGUUUCGAUGAAAUACAAAGUACGAAAAACACUCUUUUGGAAGUUCUUACGAAAAAAACACUAAAACUGAACAGUUUACGAUUGUUUUCCCCCGUAAAACUAACUUUGAAAAUUUAAAUGGAAUAUAUUUUCUAAAAAACAAAACAUUUUUUUUACAAAAAAAAAACUUCGUUAGAACUAGCUUGGAAAGUUCUUGGAGAACAUCUUUCAUAAAAUAAAAUAAAACAGAUUCACAAAAUAAAUGUCCAUAAAACUAACUUCAGAAAGCUCUUUAUCAACAUCUUUCAAAACAAAACAAAACAGAUUUUACGAAACAAAAUUAUUCCGUAAAAUUAACUUCGGAAUUUUUUUUGUGAAACAUAUUUCGUAAAUCAAAACAAACAGUUUUUUACGAAAAAACUUUUGUAAAACCAAUAUAACUCAACGAUUUAUGAAAAAAUUCUUGGGGAAGGCACAUGACACUAGAAUUGAAAAGACAGGAGAAUAGCUGAGUGAGUAAUCGCCUACACUCUCUAUCCUCCUCCACAUCACUCAAUCCCCUCUCCUCCUGCACAUCGCCCACUCUCUGUCCUCCUCCACAUCACCCACUUUCUGUCCUCUUCCACGUCGCACACUUCCUCUCCCGAAAAAACGCACACUUCCUCUCCCGAAAGGAUGCCAAACACUUCUUCCUUCAUUCAUAGACUUUACUUGCUUCUCCUUGCAUUGUUUUCUCGUCUAAAACUUUCUUUGUUUCUUCACAAAUUAAGAUAUGAUUAAGAUAUUUUGUAGAAAAAGUGAAAAAUCCUAUGUUUCCACAAAAGCAACCAAUUGAGUGAAAAAUGGUUAAACGUAAAUUCCUUAUAUGUUUUGACAACGACGGGACACCAACCUUUAUGUGACGGAGAUGUG